rnacentral:rRNA from 1 species
GAAUUACUGGGCGUAAAGCGCACGCAGGCGGUUUGUUAAGUCAGAUGUGAAAUCCCGGGGCUCAACCUGGGAACUGCAUCUGAUACUGGCAAGCUUGAGUCUCGUAGAGGGGGGUAGAAUUCCAGGUGUAGCGGUGAAAUGCGUAGAGAUCUGGAGGAAUACCGGUGGCGAAGGCGGCCCCCUGGACGAAGACUGACGCUCAGGUGCGAAAGCGUGGGGAGCAAACAG